UACGAAGGGGGCUAGCGUUGUUCGGAAUUACUGGGCGUAAAGCGUAUGCAGGCGGACUUUUAAGUCGGGGGUGAAAUCCCGAGGCUCAACCUCGGAACUGCCUUCGAUACUGGAAGUCUUGAGUCCGGGAGAGGUGAGUGGAACUCCGAGUGUAGAGGUGAAAUUCGUAGAUAUUGGGAAGAACACCGGUGGCGAAGGCGGCUCACUGGCCCGUAACUGACGCUCAUGCACGACAGCGUGGGGAUCAAACAGG
rnacentral:rRNA from 1 species